rnacentral:rRNA from 1 species
CCUACGGGCGGCAGCAGUGGGGAAUAUUGCACAAUGGGGGAAACUCUGAUGCAGCGAAGUCGCGUGCGUGAAGAAGUAUCUCGGUAUGUAAAGCCCUAUCAGCAGGGAAGAAAAAUGACGCUACCUGACUAAGAAGCACCGGCUAAAUCCGUGCCAGCAGCCGCGGUAAUACGGAUGGUGCGCGCGUUAUCCGGAUUUACUGGGUGUAAAGGGAGCGCAGGCGGGACUCUAAGCCUGAUGUGAAAACCCGCGGCCCAACCGCGGAAGUGCAGUGGGAACUGGCGGGCUGGAGUACCGGAGGGGCUGGCGGAAUUCCUGGUGUAGCGGUGAAAUGCGUAGAUAUUAGGAGGAACACCAGUGGCGAAGGCGAGCUGCUGGACGGAGACUGACGCUGAGGCUCGAAAGCGUGGGGAGCAAACAGGAUUAGAUACCCCAGUAGUC